GAGGGGAGAAGCUCCUGGCACCCCGCGGACUCGCGGCCUGCGGCGGCCCCCGCGGAGCUGUUCGCCGGCCCGGCUCGCGGGAGCCCGCCACCGGCGCCUCCCACCGCGGCCCACGCGGGCGGCGCGCGGAGGAGGGGGCGGGGGCAGCGGCGGCCGUAGCGGCCGCGACCUGGGCGGGCGGAGGAGAGUGACGGGCCCGGGGGCCGCCGUGGAUGGUUUCUAAGAUGAUCAUUGAAAACUUCGAGGCACUGAAGUCCUGGCUCAGCAAGACUCUGGAGCCCAUCUGUGAUGCAGAUCCAUCAGCCCUUGCAAAAUAUGUUCUUGCUUUGGUAAAAAAAGACAAAAGUGAAAAAGAAUUAAAGGCAUUAUGUAUUGAUCAACUGGAUGUAUUUCUUCAAAAAGAGACACAGAUAUUUGUGGAAAAACUUUUUGAUGCUGUGAAUACAAAGAGUUAUCUACCUCCUCCAGAGCAGCCAUCAUCAGGAAGCUUAAAAGUGGAAUUUUUUCAGCACCAAGAAAAAGAUAUAAAAAAAGACGAGAUUAUAAAAGAGGAAGAACGAGAGAAGAAGUUUUCCAGAAGGCUAAAUCACAGUCCUCCCCAGUCAAGCUCCCGAUAUAGAGAAAAUAGAAGUCGUGAUGAGAGGAAAAAGGAUGAUCGUUCUCGCAAAAGAGAUUAUGAUCGAAACCCUCCUCGAAGAGAUUCAUACAGAGACCGGUACAACAGAAGACGAGGGCGAAGUCGCAGUUACAGCAGGAGUCGGAGUCGAAGUUGGAGUAAAGAGAGGCUUCGUGACAGGGAUAGGGAUAGAAGCAGGACCAGAAGCAGGAGCAGAACACGAAGCAGGGAAAGAGAUCUGGUAAAACCUAAAUAUGACCUGGAUAGAGCAGAUCCACUAGAAAACAAUUAUACUCCAGUUUCUUCGGUACCUAACAUUUCAUCCGGUCACUACCCUGUACCUACUCUGAGCAGCACCAUAACAGUAAUUGCUCCUACACAUCAUGGUAAUAACACUACCGAAAGUUGGUCUGAAUUUCAUGAAGACCAAGUGGACCAUAACUCAUAUGUCAGACCACCAAUGCCAAAAAAGCGGUGUAGAGACUAUGAUGAAAAGGGUUUCUGUAUGAGAGGAGACAUGUGCCCUUUUGAUCAUGGAAGUGACCCAGUAGUUGUAGAAGAUGUGAAUCUUCCUGGCAUGCUGCCUUUCCCAGCACAGCCUCCUGUUGUUGAAGGACCACCUCCUCCUGGACUCCCCCCACCCCCACCAAUUCUUACACCCCCACCUGUGAAUCUGAGACCCCCAGUGCCACCACCAGGCCCAUUACCACCCAGUCUACCACCUGUCACAGAUGAUAUUUCUUAUUCUUUGGUUUUGACAGGACCACCACCUCCACUUCCUCCUUUGCAGCCAUCUGGCAUGGAUGCUCCCCCAAACUCUGCAACCAGUUCUGUUCCUACUGUAGUAACAACUGGCAUUCAUCACCAGCCUCCUCCUGCUCCACCCUCUCUUUUUACUGCAGUUUUUGUAUUACCAGAUACAUAUGACACAGAUGGCUACAAUCCUGAGGCCCCAAGCAUAACAAACACUUCCAGACCUAUGUAUAGACACAGAGUGCAUGCACAAAGGCCUAACUUGAUAGGAUUGACAUCAGGGGAUAUGGAUUUGCCACCCAGAGAAAAGCCUCCUAAUAAAAGCAGUAUGAGGAUAGUUGUGGAUUCAGAGUCAAGGAAAAGAACAAUUGGUUCUGGGGAGCCUGGAGUUACUACAAAGAAGACUUGGUUUGAUAAACCAAAUUUUAAUAGAACAAACAGCCCAGGCUUCCAGAAAAAGGUUCAGUUUGGAAAUGAAAACACCAAACUUGAACUUAGAAAAGUUCCACCAGAAUUAAAUAAUAUCAGCAAACUUAAUGAACAUUUUAGUCGAUUUGGAACUUUGGUUAACUUACAGGUUGCCUAUAAUGGUGAUCCUGAAGGUGCCCUUAUCCAAUUUGCAACAUAUGAAGAAGCAAAGAAAGCAAUAUCAAGUACAGAAGCAGUUCUAAACAAUCGCUUUAUUAAGGUUUAUUGGCACAGAGAAGGAGGCACCCAGCAAUUACAAACUACUUCUCCAAAGGUAAUGCAGCCUUUAGUCCAGCAGCCCAUUUUGCCUGUUGUGAAGCAGUCCGUAAAAGAGCGGUUGGGUCCAGUACCUACAAGUACCAUUGAACCAACAGAAGCCCAGAGUGCCAGUGCAGACCUUCCUCAGAAUGUAACUAAAUUAUCUGUGAAGGACAGGUUGGGUUUUGUAUCAAAGCCAUCUGUUUCAGCAACUGAAAAGGUGUUAUCUACAUCUACUGGCCUAACAAAAACAGUGUAUAAUCCAGCUGCUUUGAAGGCUGCACAAAAAACCUUACUUGUUUCCCCCUCUGCAGUUGAUAAUAAUGAAGCACAGAAAAAAAAACAGGAGGCACUGAAACUUCAGCAGGAUGUAAGGAAAAGAAAACAAGAAAUUUUAGAAAAGCACAUUGAAACACAGAAGAUGUUAAUAUCAAAACUGGAGAAAAACAAAGCAAUGAAGUCUGAAGAUAAAGCAGAAAUAAUGAAAACUUUAGAGGUUUUGACAAAAAAUAUUACCAAGUUGAAAGAUGAGGUCAAAGCUACUUCUCCUGGACGCUGUCUUCCAAAAAGUAUAAAAACCAAGACUCAGAUGCAGAAAGAAUUACUUGACACAGAGCUGGAUUUGUAUAAGAAGAUGCAAGCUGGAGAAGAAGUCACUGAACUUAGGAGAAAGUAUACAGAAUUACAGCUGGAAGCUGCCAAACGAGGGAUUCUUUCAUCUGGUCGGGGCAGAGGAGUCCAUUCAAGAGGUCGAGGUGCAGCUCAUGGCAGAGGCAGGGGUCGGGGUCGAGUUCGAGGUCGAGGUCGAGGUCGAGGUCGAGGUGUACUUGGUCAUGCUGUGGUGGAUCACCGUCCCAGGGCAUUGGAGAUUUCUGCAUUUACAGAGAGUGAUAGAGAAGAUCUUCUUCCUCAUUUUGCGCAAUAUGGUGAAAUUGAAGAUUGUCAGAUUGAUGACUCUUCACUUCAUGCAAUAAUUACAUUCAAGACAAGAGCAGAAGCUGAAGCAGCUGCAGUUCAUGGAGCUCGUUUCAAAGGGCAGGAUCUAAAACUGGCAUGGAAUAAACCAAUAACUAAUAUUUCAGCUGUAGAAGCAGAAGAGGUUGAACCUGAUGAAGAGGAAUUUCAGGAAGAGUCUAUGGUGGAUGACUCAUUACUUCAAGAUGAUGAUGAAGAAGAAGAGGACAAUGAAUCUCGUUCUUGGAGAAGAUGAUUUGACUGAUCAUUGAUCUGCACAUGCUAGAACUCUACCUGUGUUUCAUUAGUAUUACCUAAUGUACUUUUACAUAUUUGUAAAAACAAUUUUUUGGUAAAUGUGAGAAGAUGGAUUUCACAAAUAGAAGAAAAGAAAACUACCUUCUGCUCCUGUAUUUUGAAAGAUUGAUGUUUGCAUUUUAUUUCAGUAAACAAUUGCUAAAGACAUCACACUAGAAACAUGAAAUGUUUUUAUUACAUACUUCUACUGAACAAUACAGAAUUCUUUGGGUUCUUUGUAAUUUAAUGAAUAGGUCUAAAAACUUAUGACCAAUACUUGUAAUAACUUAGAGGAAUUUGUUUUACUCCAAUAAGGAAUGAAUUUGCAUUUAAAAUCUUAAUGAAUGUUUUCAAAAAUGAAUAGAUAACAUAGUACUCUAACUAAAGUCUCCAAGUAUGUAUUCAUAAUAUUACAUAGUAGUAUGCUUAGGCUUUACUAUGUAUUAGCCUUUUGUUGGACUUGUGUAUGUAUUUUACCAUAUGGGUUUCAAUGAUAAUGGUGUAUGACUGCUUUGCAUAUGACUCUCCUUAUGCAUUCAGAUGUUUAAAAUAAAGUGGAAUGGUCUUUUAAAAAGAAAAGAAAAGAAAAAAAAAGCAAUGGCAGAAAAAAAAAAAAACACACAACCAAGACGAUGUUCUUUGAUUUAAAAAAAAAAAAAAGAUAAAAAGAAAAAAGUUAAAAUAGACCAUUCCUAAUGGUGAUCUACCCUUUCCCCCAAUUAUCACAAAAGGAGCUAUAAUCACUAACUUAUUCUUAGUAAUAAUGAUUACUGAUACCUUUAUAAUAAUGUACAAUCCAAUGUUUAAAAUUUAUACCACUUCAGUUUGGUUUGAUCCUAUAAAUUUUCAACAGAUGUCUUAAAAUUUAAAAGCAGGCUGAUUAGUUUGGAAGCAGACUUCAAGUAGAGCUAACAUUUGGUGAAUAAGAAAACCACAUUACAUUUUGGAUGUGUGAAGGAAAACUUGACCAUUUGAAGAUGUAUGAAUAAAGAAAUGUACUAUAGAUACCACUUUAGGAAAACACUGUUUGUAGUCGUGAAAGGUGCCAAAUUGGCAGAGGCUCACGUUUCUUCUCUUUACACCAAACAGCAGAGAGAGAUCAUCAUUGCCUGAAUUUAGCUUUGUGACUACAACAGCAAGAUCUGUUCCUGUCUGGAGACGACUGUUAUAAUAAUUCUAUCAUUUUAUGUUUGCCUUCUAUCAAUUUGAAUAGAUGUUUACAUGUACUAUAAUUAGCAUUUUAUCUUUACAGUUCUCUAAGGGUACAUCUGAGUCCAGAAGUAUAUCUGAGUGUGUAUUUUGUCUGGCCUUAUUCUUAAAUGUUUCCUCUUCUUUAUUUUCUUUUUUUCUUUUACACCGUAAGAAGACAAAAGACCUCUUGGUUUCCUAAUAUGACAUAAGUUCAGUCUCAGUCAGGUUCAAAAUUGUGUCUAAGAAAUCUGUAAAGAGAUGAUGCUGUGUUAAUGAACACGAACAAUUUAGAAUGGAGAAAAUGAUUGAAAAAUUAAGCAUGGGUUACUUUUAAAAUUUCUGGGCUUUAAAAAGGUAUAUUUCUGGGGUUAGAAUAGUCACCUAAAUAAUUUUGGACAGAUGUUAAAAUACUUUUUUUUUAUACACACUUGCCUAUUCUAAAUAUUCUAAAUAUAUGUUCCCAAGACCACUUAUCUGAAUAAUUUUAAAGUUUUUAGCUCUUUAAAACCAACAAGGAGACUAUUUUUCUUUCUUUUCAAGAAUUGCAGGAUGACCUAUGGAGUAUAAAUAUUGAAAAGUAUCUAUUAAAUAUCUCUAGUUUACAAGGUUUUUCCAUAUUUUCUCACAGUCAAGAUAUCAAAGACAAUCUUGAAAGCAAGGAGGAAAGAAUGUUGUAUGUCUUACAUUGUUAAAGACUACUAUAAUUUUCCUAUUUUAAAACGUAUAUGCUCAUAUUUAUUACUACUAAUGUUAAUAUGGCUUAGAAUUAUUUCUAGAACAUGAUUUAAUUUAACCCAGAUAUUUACCAAAACACUCCUUUUAUAAUGGGUUCCAUUAAAAAAGUUUUCAGAAAAUCAGUAUUUGAAUAUUCAAAUUCUCCUUAGGCAUUUGAGAAGUUAUUCUUGAUACAAACUCUUUGUUAGGAAAGUCCAGACUACACUUGAUUCUGUUCACCCUUGUCCAUCUAUAUUUUCACUUUUUUUGCGUACAAAAUUGACCAUUCUGUAAACACUUUGAGUGUGCAUUGCAUUUGUCUUCAUGAAAAAUAAAAAGAAUGAACAUAUCUAUCAUAAUGUAAAUGAUCUAUUUUAAUCCACAUUAGUUGGAGAUAGCAUAGUUAAUAUUAGGUAUGGUUUGAAGGAAAAGUACAGACUUUGGAAGGAGUUCAAACAUAAUUAUGACCUAGUAUACAAGGCCUUUUUAAAAUUAAACUUUAAUUUUAGUUUAUAUUUGCAAACUAUCAUAUAACGAGUUUGUAAAUAUUUUUUCAGAUUAAUUUAGUAUUUUUUUCAUCGAAUAGUGGUUUCCAUCUAAUAGUGCCCAUCUAACAGUAGUUUCUGUGCUAGGUUAGAAACCUAAAGAAUGUUUUUUGAGACCAUAUUUGCUGUUUACAGUUUUAGUUGGUUAAUGGGUGUGGACCACAUACUACUGCCCUCAACUUUAUUUUGUCAUCUUCCUGUUUUUCCUUUGCCUUUAAAUUAAAAGCAAAAUAAAGCAAAACAAAAUGAACUACCAUUUGAAUCAGAGUCAAGGUGAUUUGAUUUUCAUUAAGAUCAUUGCACUUUUUGGAAAUUGCUGUGGGAUCUAGUAGAUCAGUUAAGUAGUUAAAUCCCCAUAUGUUGAUUAGCUAAAGAUAAGAAUUUUUAUUUCAUUUUCAUGAAUAAGAUUCUCAUGAAGCUAUGUAUAGAUAACUGUACAGAAUCACUUGUGUAAUUGAAUGAUGCAGUUUACCUCUGCAUGAUUGCAUUAUGGAAGUUUUUAUAUAUAUUUUUAAUAUACUUGGAUUUUACACUAUUAGCUGCUCUAAUCAUGCUAUUUAUAUUUGUUUUUUAAAAUAGAGUUUAUAAAUAUUUAUGCUCAAAAUACAGAUUGAAUAUUUUGGUCUUGUUUACAAGAUAAAUAAGUGAUGCAGCCCCAAAGUGUCUUAGGAAAAAGUCAUUGGUGCUAUAAAACCUUUCAAUAUCAUUUUUGAAUCAAUUGUUUGGACUACUAGGCUUUCAUCUGUGAUUGCUUCUGACUUGUUUUAUUCUAACAACAUCAGUAGAAAAGUGGUCUGUGGUGAGUACAGAGCCCAGACAAUUAGAAAACACCCCAUUAUUUAAAGAUAAGCAGAAUGAUGUUCUUAUUUUUGCCCAGCUUCCCCAAAAGAAACAGCUUUUUUAGUUUAUCAUUGGCUCUUUUGAUAAGAGGAACUGUGUUAACCUGGCUAAAAUUAAAAAAUGAAACAUUUAGCAUGGCUCAGUUUUCCUAUAUUUCAAAUAGAAAACUUUUCUAGUCUGAAAGUUCUACUUUAAAUUCCCAUUUGUCUUUUACUCAACAGGAGGCAGGGUAAUUCUUAAAUAUUUAUAGAACAUUUGAUGAGUUGGAAAGAGAUGUAUUAUUUACAUUGUACAAGUUUUGUGUUAAUGUAGAUUGUUUUCUACAUCUCCAAAACUUUAUUCCAGCACCUUAGUAAACAUUCUUAAGAUACAAUUUUUUAAGUAUCAGCAAAGCAUUUGUAGUUGUUUAUUUUUGAUUCUCAGAAUCCUGAACCUGUUCUGGAUGUGAUAGAACAUGUCUGGCACAAGAUUUCUUUUAAUAAGUGGUUUAACUCAACUUCUGUGGAUUGUUGAACUUAAAACACCAAAGGAAUCUUUUCUUGUCUGGAGACUGGAUUGUUCCAGUUUUUAAUACCUGUGCCCAUAAGAAUCCAUUUCAUGAAUGCGCGUUGGCAUGGAGAAAAAUUCCCUGCUCUUUGAAUGGAGCGAAAGAAAUUGGUUAAGCUGUAGCAGCUUUUUUUUUUUUUUUUUUUUUUUUUUUUUUUAAGCGAAACUUGAACUGAAAAAAGUAAAACUUGAACUAGAAAACUACUUUUGUAUGCUUAGAUUAUUUAUUAUAGUAUUACAUGUUUAUGUGAGGUUGUCAACAUUUUAAUUUAUAGUUGAAUUAUGUUUUGUUUGUUAAUAUCCAUGUUUAUUAUUUUUAUAUUUUGAAAAAUUUUUUAAUAAAAUAGUCUUACUUAAAAGCAAUUGUUAAUUUUUUUAAAUUGUCCUUCAUGUUGCAUCAAUAGAAAAAUGUGCAGCCCUCAGGCAUUGCACAAUUGAGAAUUCUGGAAAUGUUUAAAUAAAGAAAUGGCUUCACAUUG